GCCGUUGUUGGAGGCUUGUAGUUAACUUUCCUGUCAAGUUUCUUCUUAUCGGAAGUAUUGGAAACCGAUUCUGGUAGCGAAUGAUGCUGAAGGCUCAGACUCAAGGUUGGUAAUAAGCGAACACAGAGGCUCUGAAAUGCUACCUGACAGUCUUAAGGCAAGACAAGGGAAUCCACACAUCUGCCCAUCAGUGAACAAUGGCUUCUCAGCCUCUCUAGCUGUGCCCAUCUCUGCGGCCCCUUCCUGGAGUCCCACGGGCAUUGGACAUGGUCCACCUCGUCAGGCCCAAGGAACGUGAGAGGGAGUGACUUCUACUUCUGCGCAGAAGCUUUAAAGGACUCCACAUGGUGUGGCCACGGAGUCAGCAUGUCCCAGAAGAGACUGUCCCUCUGCCUGAUUCCAGGAAUGCCAACUGCAUGGAGCAGAAAUGCAGCUGACCGAUGAAUGGCUUUUGCACGCAGGAAUUGUUGGGGGCCACUGAAGGUUUGCGGUUGUAUUAUCAAUGUGUAGUCCAUCAAAAGAUGCUUUAUGCAAGAAGUUUCAUAUUCCACCUUAAACGCUCAAUGUUUGUGUGUGUCUUUUCUUCCUAAUUAACUCUAAGUUCCUGUGAAUCCGUGUGUGACCCAUCUUUUAAUUUAUUACUCUUUGCACCAUGCCUGGAAUCCAGUCGUUGCUUGCUAAACGUUU